UACGGAGGGUGCGAGCGUUGUCCGGAAUCACUGGGCGUAAAGGGCGCGUAGGCGGCUCUGCACGUCCGUUGUGAAAUCGCCCGGCUCAACUGGGCGGGGUCAGCGGAUACGGCGGAGCUUGAGCAAGCUAGGGGGCAAUGGAAUUCCCGGUGUAGUGGUGGAAUGCGUAGAUAUCGGGAGGAACACCAGUGGCGAAGGCGGUUGCCUGGGGCUUUGCUGACGCUGAUGCGCGAAAGCGUGGGGAGCGAGCCGG
rnacentral:rRNA from 1 species